ACUUCUACUCCUUGCUGCUGCUUCUCAAGGCAGUUCCUUCUGCUGCCUACACCUCCUCAGGCUCAAAUCCAAAAAUCCCAUGGGUACUGCCCACACAGCCUCCAGCCUGACCCCCCUGCACUGGUUAUCUGCAGCCUACCAGUGCAUCCUCAUGCUGCACACACAUCUACCCAUCUUUGCAGCUCACUCUCCCCUGGGGUAAAACCUCCUUUUGUAAAUAGCUCUUCCUUGUUAGCAAUGCAUCAAGAAACCAAAGCCUGGAAAUACUCCAUGUACUGGCUUUCCAAGGAUCUCAGUGGGAGGUUAUACCAGUUCCAGCAUUUGAUGGAUCACGUGGAAAGUGCCCAGAAAGGAGACAACCAUCUACAACUCAUUGAGUUCCCAGAAAGCUGACACAUGGGAACGCAUCACCUCGCAGCCAGCGCACAGCUGCCCCUUGCUGACCGCCUUUAACCAGGAGAUAACCAGGUAGAAGUAUGACCCGGAGGGCUUCCU
rnacentral:lncRNA from 1 species